AUGUACCAGAACAUUAAUGAAGCAUCAUGGGGCGAGCAACAACUCAUCAGUGAGAUAAGAACAUUCUUUGAAAACAAGAGGUACUUGAUAGUUAUUGAUGACAUAUGGGAUAAAUCCGUCUCGGAAAAUAUCAAGUAUGCAUUUAUUGAGAAUGGAUACGGAAGUAGAGUAAUCACAACAACUCGGGUUCUUGAUGUUUCCCUGCAAGCUGGUGGUGUAUAUCAGCUGAAACCUCUUUCUGUUGUCGACUCAAGAAAGUUGUUCUAUCAAAUAAUAUAUGAGAUGGAGAACAAGUCACAACCUAAUCAAUUGGUUGAAGUAUCUGAGAGAAUUUUAAAAAGAUGUGGGGUAGUUCCGCUAGCUAUCCUUGCGAUAGGUAGCUUGCUGUCUAGUGAAAAGGGAAGAGCACAUACACAUGAGUAUUGGUCCAAGUGUACAAAUCCAUCAGUUCGGGGCUAG
rnacentral:rRNA from 1 species